GACAUCUACCACUAGCUUUCCUGGUUUUCCAGUUUGCAGAUGGCAUAUGUGGACUUCUUGGGCUCCCUAAUUGCAGGAGCCAGUUCCCAAAGUAAAUCUCAUAUAUCUACGUGUAUAUAUCCUGUUGGUUUUGUUUCUCUGGAGAACCCUGAAUAAUAGCUUUCCUUUCCUCUCACUUCCCAGGAUUGUAAUUCCUGAGCCCUUAGCACAGUCUCUUCCUUCUGGGGCACCCAGGCAAAAACAGUUGAUAAGAGGAACAGCAAUAAAAAAACCUCAGGAUGGGAUUUUGCAGAAAGACUAGUCACCAAUAGCAUGGCAAAAACUCCCCAUUGCUGGUGAUAUUAUAAUGACUAAAGCUUGCCCCUGAGACUAAUUGCUAUAAGGAGCAUAUCAACGUCUAGUAUGAGGAUGUGGCAUAUGAACUACAUGACAGCAAUAGGAAAUUGAAGGAUUGUAAAGUAUAUUUUUUGACUUUUGUUUUUAACUACUUUGAAAGCACCAAUUUUACAAAAAUAGGCUCUGAAAGUCAGCUUCCAACUAAAGGCAAACUCUGAAAGACAGAAAGCCUGUGACAGCAACUCACAAAAUGCACUUGUUCUUCUUAGAAUCCUCACAUGCCACUCCUAUUGCCUUCAGGCUGGCAUUCGACAUCACAUCCCAGACAAGCCCAGUGGUGUCUGCAGAGAACUUGGUCAUCUUGGAAUUUCACAAUAUGGUGCUGGCCCACUAAAUGAUGAAUCAUACUAUUAGGUCUCAGUGAGCAGUAAGUGGUGGUACUCUAGAUGUCCCAGCAAGACACACAUGUCAGAAAAGGGAUCUAACUCUAUGAAGAUUCAGAAGCUUGCACUAUUACUAAUGGAGCCACUACCAUUGCUGAGUGUCCAACUUUCCAGCAGCUGAGACCAAUAAUAAACUUUGUAAGCAUCACCAUUCUUCAAGGAGACCAGCCACUUGGUAGUAAGUUCAAUGUAUUGGACCCCUCUAAUGUAGCACCACCCAA